GAGCGGCCUAUCUCCUAUCAGCUAGUUGGUGAGGUAACGGCCCACCAAGGCGAAGACGGGUAGCGGGACUGAGAGGUUGGCCCGCCACAUCGGAACUGAGAUACUGUCCGGACCCCCACGGGGGGCUGCAGUAACGGAUAUUGGGCAAUGGGCGAAAGCCUGACCCAGCGACGCCGCGUGCGGGAGGAAGUCCUUCGGGAUGUAAACCGCUGUCAGGGGUAAGAAAGUCCGUUUCGGCGGAUUGAUCUAACCCAGAGGAAGUCACGGCUAACUCUGUGCCAGCAGCCGCGGUAAGACAGAGGUGGCUAGCGUUGUUCGGUAUCACUGGGCUUAAAGCGUGUGUAGGCGGAAGCGUAAGCAUUUUGUGAAAUCCCCCGGCUUAACCGGGGAAUCGCUUGAUGUACUGCGUUUCUUGAGGCAGGUAGGGGUGCGAGGAACUCUUGGUGGAGCGGUGGAAUGCGUAGAUAUCAAGAGGAACGCCGGUGGUGAAGACGUCGCACUGGGCCUGUCCUGACGCUGAGACACGAAAGCGUGGGGAGCGAACGGGAUUAGAUACCCCGGUAGUCCACGCCGUAAA
rnacentral:rRNA from 1 species